rnacentral:rRNA from 1 species
AGUGAACGCUGGCGGUAGGCCUAACACAUGCAAGUCGAACGGCAGCACAGUAAGAGCUUGCUCCUACGGGUGGCGAGUGGCGGACGGGUGAGGAAUACAUCGGAAUCUACUUUUUCGUGGGGGAUAACGUAGGGAAACUUACGCUAAUACCGCAUACGACCUACGGGUGAAAGCAGGGGAUCUUCGGACCUUGCGCGAUUGAAUGAGCCGAUGUCGGAUUAGCUAGUUGGCGGGGUAAAGGCCCACCAAGGCGACGAUCCGUAGCUGGUCUGAGAGGAUGAUCAGCCACACUGGAACUGAGACACGGUCCAGACUCCUACGGGAGGCAGCAGUGGGGAAUAUUGGACAAUGGGCGCAAGCCUGAUCCAGCCAUACCGCGUGGGUGAAGAAGGCCUUCGGGUUGUAAAGCCCUUUUGUUGGGAAAGAAAAGCAGCAGGUUAAUACCCCGCUGUUCCGACGGUACCCAAAGAAUAAGCACCGGCUAACUUCGUG